GACGAACGCUGGCGGCGUGCUUAACACAUGCAAGUCGAGCGGUAAGGCCCUUUCGGGGGUACGACGAGCGGCGAACGGGUGAGUAACACGUGGGUGACCUGCCCUCAGCUCUGGGAUAAGCCUGGGAAACUGGGUCUAAUACCGGAUAUGACUCCAUGACGCAUGUUGUGGGGUGGAAAGCCUUGUGCGGCUGAGGAUGGGCCCGCGGCCUAUCAGCUUGUUGGUGGGGUGANGGCCUACCAAGGCGACGACGGGUAGCCGGCCUGAGAGGGCGACCGGCCACACUGGGACUGAGACACGGCCCAGACUCCUACGGGAGGCAGCAGUGGGGAAUCUUGCGCAAUGGGCGAAAGCCUGACGCAGCGACGCCGCGUGAGGGAUGACGGCCUCGGUGUAAC
rnacentral:rRNA from 1 species